GACAGUUUGGCCGAGUGGUUAAGGCGCGGGACUGCUAUACAGCUACCGUAGAAAUACGGUUACCGUUGCGAUCCCGUUCAUUCGUGAGCGCAGGUUCGAAUCCUGCAGCUGUCG